rnacentral:rRNA from 1 species
GACGAACGCUGGCGGCGUGCUUAACACAUGCAAGUCGAACGAAGUGGCGAACGGGUGAGUAAUACGUGAGUAAACUGCCCUACUUUUUGGGAUAAGCCUUGGAAACGGGGUCUAAUACCGAAUAAAGGGGGAUGGGCUCGCGGCCUAUCAGGUUGUUGGUGGGGUGAUGGCCUAACAAGGUGGUGCCGGGUAGCCGGCCUGAGAGGGUGACCGGACACAGUGGGACUGAGAUACGGCCCAGACUCCUACGGGAGGCAGCAGUGUGGGAUAUUUCACAAUGGGCGCAAGCCUGAUGCAGCUACGCCGCGGGGGGGCUGAAGGCUUUCGGGUUGUAAACCUCUUUCGCGAUCGAACGUGUAGGUGGAGAAGAAGCGCCGGCUAACUACGUGCCAGCAGCCGCGGUAAUUC